CCUACAGGAGGCAGCAGUGGGGGAUAUUGCACAAUGGGGGGAACCCUGAUGCAGCGACGCCGCGUGGGUGAAGGAGCGUUUCGGCGCGUAAAGCCCUAUCGGCAGGGAAGAAGGAGGACGGUACCUGACUAAGAAGCCCCGGCUAACUACGUGCCAGCAGCCGCGGUAAUACGUAGGGGGCAAGCGUUAUCCGGAUUUACUGGGUGUAAAGGGGGCGCAGACGGCAGCGCAAGCCAGGGGUGAAAGCCCGGGGCCCAACCCCGGGACUGCUCUUGGAACUGCGCGGCUGGAGUGCAGGAGGGGCAGGCGGAAUUCCUGGUGUAGCGGUGAAAUGCGUAGAUAUUAGGAAGAACACCAGUGGCGAAGGCGGCUUUCUGGACUGAAACUGACGCUGAGGCUCGAAAGCGUGGGGAGCGAACAGGAUUAGAUACCUUGUAGUC
rnacentral:rRNA from 1 species